rnacentral:rRNA from 1 species
CCUACGGGUGGCAGCAGUGGGGAAUAUUGCACAAUGGGCGAAAGCCUGAUGCAGCAACGCCGCGUGAAGGAAGAAGGGUUUCGGCUCGUAAACUUCUAUCAACAGGGACGAAAGAAAUGACGGUACCUGAGUAAGAAGCCCCGGCUAACUACGUGCCAGCAGCCGCGGUAAUACGUAGGGGGCAAGCGUUAUCCGGAUUUACUGGGUGUAAAGGGUGUGUAGGCGGGAUUGUAAGCCAGAUGUGAAAGCCUUGGGCUUAACCCGUAGAUUGCAUUUGGAACUAUCGAGCUUGAGUACAGGAGAGGAAAACGGAAUUCCUAGUGUAGCGGUGAAAUGCGUAGAUAUUAGGAGGAACACCAGUGGCGAAGGCGGCUUUCUGGACUGAAACUGACGCUGAGGCGCGAAAGCGUGGGGAGCGAACAGGAUUAGAUACCCCGGUAGUC